CAGUCUAGGAUGGUACAUAUCUGCCCUGUAAGAUACCUACUUAUGUGACAAAUUGCCGGAAAGAUAGUCUUAUGGCAACAAAAAGAGUGUCCUUGGAACACAAGGUUAUAUUAUGUGCUAUGCAUUAAGAUGCAUCCAGUUCAUACCAAGGCACUGAUGGUAUGAAGAAGCAUUUGGAAUUACUUAACCAAUGCUCUCAAUACCCCCAACAUACUCGGAGAAGUAGGUACCUACCCUACCCAAACCUUACAAAGAUCCAGCUCCGGCACAGAAUAAGUAAUAGGACUAAGGUUCCUAGGCACACUUAAGAAAUACCA